rnacentral:rRNA from 1 species
ACACUGUACGAGUUUGAUCAUGGCUCAGAACGACGCUGGCGGCAGGCCUAACACAUGCAAGUCGAGCGCCCCGCAAGGGGAGCGGCGGACGGGUGAGUAACGCGUGGGAACGUACCCUUUGCUACGGAAUAGCCUCGGGAAACUGGGAGUAAUACCGUAUGUGCCCUUCGGGGGAAAGAUUUAUCGGCAAAGGAUCGGCCCGCGUUGGAUUAGGUAGUUGGUGGGGUAAUGGCCUACCAAGCCGACGAUCCAUAGCUGGUUUGAGAGGAUGAUCAGCCACACUGGGACUGAGACACGGCCCAGACUCCUACGGGAGGCAGCAGUGGGGAAUCUUAGACAAUGGGCGCAAGCCUGAUCUAGCCAUGCCGCGUGAGCGAUGAAGGCCUCAGGGUUGUAAAGCUCUUUCAGUGGGGAAGAUAAUGACUGUACCCACAGAAGAAGCCCCGGCUAACUCCGUG